rnacentral:rRNA from 1 species
UACAUGGGGUGCAAACGUUGCUCGGAAUCAUUGGGCGUAAAGCGCGCGUAGGCGGUUACUUAAGUUGGAUGUGAAAGCCCUCGGCUUAACUGAGGAAGUGCAUCCAAAACUGAGUAGCUAGAGUACGAAAGAGGGUCGCGGAAUUCCCGGUGUAGAGGUGAAAUUCGUAGAUAUCGGGAGGAACACCGGUGGCGAAGGCGGCAACCUGGGUCGAGACUGACGCUGAGGCGCGAAAGCGUGGGGAGCAAACAGG